AGCAACAUUGCGAAAAUAAAAAUAAGUAAAAGGUUUUAUAAACAUGAGAUAAACAAGAAAUAAAGCUGGUAUAUAUAUUUAACAGAAGAGUGAAACUUUAAGAUGAAAAAGGAAAAAGAGGAUUAUUUUAAAUGGUAAUUUAUGCUCUUUACAAAAAUUAAGUUCAUAUGCUUAAGCAAAAACAUGAUAUAGCAAUAUGAGAAUAUCAAAAUCUCUAUAGCCUAGGCACUACAGGUUUUCUUUUUCCCCAUUCCAGUAGUGUUACAAGUAUGGAGGAGAAUUUUGUUAUUUACAUGUGUAAUGUUUACUCAAUAUCAAUAUCCAGCUAUAACUUAAAGAAAUGUAAGAAUCCACAUAUGUCCAAAAUAAACAAUGUGUAUUAUCACAUGCUUCUGAUUUCUGGUUCAAUCGAUUUUGAGCCCGGCCAACCAUAAAUUCACUAAACUUAAGUUAUAACAAUCAUACAUCAAAACGAUGACCAUCAAACUUGCAUAAGAAACAAGUUGAAAGAAGAAGGAAUAUCAAUGCAAUGCUCUGAGUACAUUUCAAAGAGUUAAUAUCAAGUUCAGCAAUUUCCAUUAGGUUAACAUGCUAA
rnacentral:misc_RNA from 1 species